rnacentral:rRNA from 1 species
UGGUGGAGUGAUUUGUCUGCUUAAUUGCGAUAACGAACGAGACCUCAGCCUACUAAAUAAGUCGAGGGAGUCCUCUGCUUGGUGAAGGGAGAGAUUGAAAGGUAAUUAACCAUUAUCUUUCAUCUUUUUGGAUCCUGGAUGUGACUUUCCUUCAAAAAGUGAUUCAUCUCAUGACUUCUUAGAGGGACAAUUGGGGAAAACUCAAUGGAAGCUUGAGGCAAUAACA